rnacentral:tRNA from 1 species
GCCCACGUAGCUCAGCCGGUAGAGCACACCCUUGGUAAGGGUGUGGCCAUGGGUUCAAGUCCCAUCGUGGGCUCCU